AUUAGCUCAGUUGGUAGAGCAUUUGACUUUUAAUCAAAGGGUCGAAGGUUCGAGUCCUUCAUG
rnacentral:tRNA from 2 species